GGGGAGGCCUGGGGAGGAGCCUGCCUCUCUGCUCAGCCCAUUUCCUGAGAGCCUCCUGGGGCAGGCUGAGAGCAGGCCCUCUGCAGAAGAGGAGGAGCCAGGAGCCCUGAGAGCCCAGAGCAGAGGGAGGGACAGCCUGAGCCCAUGGAGGGGGCUGGAGAGCCGUGGAUGCAGCUCCAUGUCCCCUGGUGCAGGGAGCGGUCCUGAGUCAGGGGACUUCCCUGCAACUCAGGGUUCAGUGUUCCCGCUGCUGCCAUGGGCUUGUCCUGCGAUGCAGCUUCUGUAUUCUCACCCUGAACCACCUUCCUUUCACAGCUGUCAGUAAACUGUGAGGCACCCACAGCAAAGCUGACAAGCACUGAACCGGCUUCAGUAAAAGAUUAAGACAGUUGGGAAAGGAGGAAGGGAGGGGACUCCGGCUGCUCUUCCUUCUGCCUCGGGGACCACACUGGCAGGGACAUGAGAUGUCGCAGCACCUUUGCAAGAGAACGUUCCAGGUGGCUAUGCAGGAAGCAACUCAGUGCUGCGGAGUGCCAGCACAUCCCUGCUGGACAGGAUCUUGGUUUAAAGCUAUCUACUGAAAAAACUAGAAACCAAUAGCCAUCUAGCAGUAAUGAGCUCUCCCAGCAUCUGUCCUGUGGCUUCAAAUACCAUUUUUCACUGAAAGACUAGGGCUCAAUUAUGAAAUGGCUGAAUCCAGGACUGGGAAGGAGGUGGACAAGGUCAAGGACAUCUCAUCUCGCCUGAAAGCAAAGAAGCCACGAGAGACAACUGAGGUCACAUCACAGGACACAGGAGCCAGCUCACAGAGUCUCUCACUGUGCACAGAGAAGACAAUGUGAGCACAAAGAGAAUAAGACCUAUGCAAGCAUGUUAAAGACACACAUAUAUAUAAAAACACACAGGCUCACUGAUGAGACUCAAAAUUAGUAUGUCAACUGUGGGGUUGCAAUGGCACCAUCGCAUUGUUCUGAAAAGGGAAAUAAAGAAGAAUCAAACAUUUCCCUUGCCUUUUCUGUACAAACUUUUCUUCAGGAUACGACAGAGCUUAUGAAUGAAAGUUCUUCUUUAGGGGAGUAUUACAGCAAGUAAAUGCAGGAGACAUAUUAAACUUGGAAAAUUACCGUCACGCAGCCCUAAUGAUGUCCUGGACUAGACAACUACCGUCAAUGGCUGUACAGCUCUGCCUCCUGCACUGGCUCUCUCUCCACCAUUCUAUGUCUCUAUCUCCCCCCUCUGCUGUCUCCAUCACUCUUUAUAGCCCUCCAUCUCUCCAUUGCUAGGUCCACACUCUUUCUUUUUCUGUUUUUUAUUCUCCAUCCCUCUGUGCUUUUCUCUCUAUGUCCCUUUACAGCUCUGUCUCCUUCUCUACUUCUCUUUAUCACUCUUCUUUCUUUCUCUUUCUCCUUAUCUCUCUAUAUUUCUGUCUCUGUAUCUCUCUAUCUUUACUAUCUAUCUUUCUUUUUCUAUUUCUUUACUUAUAUCUUUGUUAUCUGUGUUACUUUCUCUCUCUCUCUCUCUCUCUCUCUUUCUAUUUCCUCCCGUGGUCAUAACAGCUACUUUAAAUUCUCUGUUAUCCCAACCAAGAUUGUCAUCUGUUACUGGCUUUUCCAUUGUGAGAUGUUGAGAUUUUCCUGGUUCUCCACAUGUUGAGUAAUUUUGGUUGCAUUCUGCACAUUUUGAAUGUUGUGUUAGGGGCUCUAGGCGGUGUUUGCAUACUAUGGGGGAUAUUGAGUGUUUUGUUUGUAGACAAUUGACCUAGUUAGGGGUUGCAAAUUCCCACCUGCUGUUGGUGGGUAGUUCCAAUCGAUGCAGCUUUCAAAGGCUUUGUAGUGCUAUUCAGAUCUGUCCUGUGUGAGCGCCUCCCAGUGGUCAGUCUAGGACCCGGGCUGUGGUUUACCCCUAGAUCAGUUUGCGAAGUCAAUGGUAGGAUAUUUAGGGUCAUAUCUAUGUCUGCACAGUGGGGGUAAACCCAUUUGUUCAAACACCAUUGUGUGAGAUUUCUUUCUCAAACUCUCUCCUCUCUGCAAUCUCUACAACACUUUCCAAUUCACAGGGAUCGCCCAUUCCUGUCCUCUGGCCAGAUAAGUGGGACUUUAGCAUACUUUCUCUGCUGUGCAUUUCCUGCAACUGUGUCUGCUUUCGGGGCCAAGCAGGGAGAGGAUAAAGAGAGGACAAAAGCCACCAGGAUUCUCUUCAUGCUCAGAGACCUCAGAACAGGGGUUAUAGUUGCAUUCCAUGAGAGAAACAGGGUCAAAUGUGCUUUGUGCAAAUUUUCCAGCCGGAGCUCACUCCUUGCAACGUGAAUUCACAGCUCCUCAAUCAAGAAGUGCAGUUUAUUUCCCCGGUUUUUGAACUUGGGAGAAAGUUAUGGGGAUCCAGUUCUGAUUCUAGGCCUGAAGAGGCCUAAUGCACUUCUGCUCACUCUCUUGGAUCCCCACCAUUGUCGUGAGAACAAGUCCAGGCUGGCCUGCUCGAGGAUGAAAUACCACGUGGAACAGAGCUGAUUCAUUCCAGCCCAGGCCACCUUGACCAGCCAGCCCCCAGCCAACCCAUCAACUGACCAAUGUGACCAAAUCCAGAUGAGCUGAGCCCGAUCCAGGUCAGCAGAACAGCCUAGCCAGUCAAUUGGCUUGUGAGGAUUAAUAAAUGAUUGUUGUUUUAAGCCACUGUGUUUUAGAGUGUUUGAUAUAAAGCCUUAUUUUCCAAUAAGAUAGAUAGAUAGUUAGAUAGAUAGAUUUCUUGUUAGUACCAUUGAGUCAAUUCCAACUCCUAGCAACCCUGUGUCAGCAGAGCAGAACGCUACCCAGUCUUUUCGUGCCAUCCUCCCACCCUCCAGCGCUAUAUUGCACAAAGCUCCACUGCUAUACAUAGGGUUUUCAUGGCCAAUUUUUUGGAAGUUGUUGGCCAGGUCCUUCUUAAGGUAAAUAAACAGAUAGAUAGAUAUAGGUACAUAGAAAGAGACUAUAUAUAAAGAGAAC
rnacentral:lncRNA from 1 species